ACUGGCUCCAGAUGGUAUUCACCUGAGAGUUGUUAAAGAACUCAAAUGUGAAAUUGCUGUUCUUCUAACAAAAAUAUGUAACCUGUCCCUAACAUCAGCCUCUGAGGACUGGAAGUGGCCAACAUAACACCUUUUUUUAAAAAGCAGCAGCUGUGAAAAAGGCAAAUUCCAUGCUAGGGAUUAUUAGAAAGGGAACUGAAAAUAAAAGUGCCAAUAUUAUAACACUGUUAUAGAAAGCUAUGGUGUGACUGCACUUGGAUUGCUGUAUACAGUUCUUGUUGCUUUACGUCGAAAAGCAAAUUGUAGAACUGGACAAGGUUCAGGAAAAGGCAACCAAAACAAUGAAGGUACUGAAGCAAAUUUUCUAUGAGGAAAGGUUACAACAUAUAAGCCUUUUUAGAUUAGAGGAAAUGUGACUAAGAGGACGCGGAGAUGUAGAAGAUUACACAUGUUGUGGAGAAACUGUUUGGAGGAAGCUUUUCUUGUAAUGCUAGAACCUGGAGGCACCCAAUGAAUGCUGAAUGUUGGAAAAUUCAAGACAGACAAAGGGAAGUAUUUCUUCACAAAGCAAAUUGUCACUGCGAGAGAUGAGAAGUUGAGGCGCAUCUAUCAGGCCCAGUUCUCUUCUACUUGUUUGUACAAAAGUAUGCAAGUCUGGGUAAAAGUAUACUCACACUCUGACAAAUAGAAAAGCUACCUACAUGUAGAACUAGUCUGCUUAAACAAUGUUGAAGUAGCAGCCCAGUUCUUGCCCAGUUGGUGCUUCCUUGUUGAAAAAGGCAUGCGUCUAAAAUUGUACAUGAGAAAACCCUCCAUAUCGAUUGCUGUGUACACAUAUUGUUGCCAGGGAUUGGCAGUGUGUGGCAUAGGCAGGGCCCCCGGAGAGUGACACAGGAGAGGGGACCAGUGAUUUAUGGGGUUUGAUGCUGCCUGCAAGGCAGGAGCCAGGGAAAGAGGGGUAGUCAGGGCAGUCGGAGAUGGAGGAAGGAGCACCAGAUGUGGCAGAAGAAGAAGAGGCUGUUCAGCUGACAGAUGGUUCAGUAGACUCCCCACUUUCCUUUGCCCUGCUGCCUCCUAGAAAAGGAGGGGUUUGGGAAGAGCAACAGGUCUCAGGUUAUAAGCACACAACCUGUCAGGGGAGGGCAUAUAAGCCAACAGUGGGGCAGGGGUUUCCCUGUUGCUGCAAUUGCUCUGCAGGGUCUAGAUCUCUGGACAGCUGCCUAGAGGCUAGAAGUCUGUGUGUGCACGUGCGCAGAGCAUUGUGGAAGCUGGUGUAAGUGCUUUUCUUGUCAAUAAAGGGUUAACUAUCAGAAAUGUGCCUUUUUUGGCUGGGGAGGGCCAGGACAAUUUUGCACUCCUCCACAGUGUGUACCUGGAUACAAAAAGGAAAGUGAGAUGCAGCCCUAAGGCAACAUCAAAUGUGUAUUUGUGUUGCUAGGUUUUAAUGAGAUGCAGUUGCUAUUGACUUUUUUUGGCAGUUCCUCCUGAAGAGCACUUGUCAGUUUUAACUGAGAACAAAGGUACAGAUAGGAAAGGUGUCAAUCUUUGUCAAAGGUUUUAUCCAUUGUGGCUGUCACCACCUCAUCUUACCCAGCCUACCCCCUAUUCAUAAUUGAGAAUUACUGUGACAUUAUUAUUGUCUUGAAAAUAACCUGACGAAACCAGGUGAGCCAUGGAGCUCAAAUGGCACCACUGAAUCUUGAGCAACACCUGGCUAAUCCCUUUUACAUGGUAGUUUCCUAUCUUGAUUAUUUCUACCUUUUCCCCUAUAAUUAUUAUCCAGUUUGGUCAUUGGAUGCUUCUGCACACUAACUUUUGCUGUGGCAAAAGGGAAGCAAAAGUGUUUUGCUUUGUUAUUAAAUAAUUUGUCCUUUCUAAAUAAAUUUGGUAGAUCUCAGUACAACUGGGAUACCUGCAGUUUUCCAGCAGUCACCUCACACCACAGAUAGAUAAGGGGCCUAACGUAUGACUUCCUUAAUCUUGUAUUUUAUUGAAAGCAAUAAAAAUGUCUUAAUAUUAAAAGAGCUACUUAAAAAUUACUGGACAUUAUGUUCACCAGCUGAUACAUCUCUGUACAAGUCUCAUAACAUACAGUAUUUUUUUUUAAUGUAGCUUUCUUUUUAAACACCCCACGUCUUUCCCACCCUCUCAACUUGUGGCAUGAUUUUAAUAAAAGCCUGAAAUGUAUUUGGUGGAGAUUAACCAGGGAUAACUUUGUAUAAACACUGAAAACCACGUUUUAUUAAGCUCAAACCUUGUUACCCAAGAAGUACAUAGUGUAUAUUAGUGGCUUCAACCAUCAAACCAAAAACAAUGGAUUCACUGCCUUCCAUGCAUACUACUCAGAUUACACUUGAAAUAACCUAGGAACAACAUGUUUAAAUUAUUUGCCCAAGGCUGUGAAAGCCAUAGGAUUAGAAUUUCGGCACUCCCAACUCCUACUCCUGUGCUCAUUACCACACCUUGUCUCACCAACACACAGCCUAGGCAAGCACAGCUUUUGAUAAGUGAAAACUCAUGACAUGUGUUCUGUGUAGCUCUACCUGAGCAUUUUGUCUUACUUGCAUGAAUUGAAUUAUUUGUGGUAAUCAGAAAUAAUAAAUGAAGCAUGCUUGAACUCGUUUGCUUUUAACAUAAAUACUCCUACGCCACUAGAGCAGCAGUAAUAUAAUGCAUCAAGUUAGCAUCUUAUAUAAUAUGCAAACUUUUCUCCAAUAUCAGAAGGCAAUGGAAGAGAAAUAAGGGUGGUUUUUUCACCUUAAUAACCAUGGUUUGUCAUUGCAGGAGCAAAUGUUUUGCUACAUUUAUCAACUAUCAACUGAAAAAGCUGGAUCGCAUUGAUUCAUAACAUUAUUCAUGCAGGCGUAUUUUGAAUCCUUGCAAAUGAGAGGUGGGGAAUCUCUCUUAAAACGUGGUCUAUUUAGGGAAGUAUGUUGGGGAUUUGGGAUGGUUUUCUGUGGAUUUCUGUACUGCAUUCAGCCUAUAUCCUUAAAUCCUGAAGAGUUUUGUAUAUCCUGUUCUAAAUGAGAGCUGAACACAUUCACAGAUUUGUAGUGAAAGAUUUAUGCUUACCUAAAAUCCUUCAGUAAGAAAACACAGAAAACAGAGGAGGGACCAAGAUAGCGCUUUCCCCCGCCCAUCCACACCAAGCUAAAAAACUAUUAAAUACAACAUACUGAAGACUCCAGUUCAAUGGGUAGGGCAGAACUUCCUUCUGUACAAAACUAUGCUAGACAAUAAGCUAACUAAGGAGUCAUAUUUGCAUAUCCUUAUCUUUAGAUUUUCUGCCCAUGGCUGCUUCACUUUUGGGGAUUAUUUUUGUUGAAACUGUGGUACAGGGCAGAUGGGUCAAACACCUCCGCUGCAGUGCUGAUCUGAAUUGCAGGGGCUCAGCCGAAUUUAAGGGGGUGGGGGAAUUAAAAUAUGUAAAUGUAAUCAUGCAUUUAAUGUAUUCUCCAGUUUGGCCCUUAGUGUGUCUCGCAAGAAUAGCAUCAGUGAGCUAAUAUAAAAUAAAUCGCUUCUGCAAGAACUGUCAAGCACUUAUGCUUGACAGUAAACUAGUUAAUGUAGUUGAAAGAUAUCUACAUUCAGAACUAGUUAGUCCUGCAUGAAAAAGAUUCAUGUAAACAUGUACCUUGUCAGCAAGAUUUCCUACCCAAUGAUUAUUCAUAAAGGCUAAAGGGUGGGAAAGAAACCCCAAGAAAAUAAAGGCACAGACUCACCCUUCUUGGGAUUCAUGGCAAUCCUAUGAGCUUUGGGUGUGGAAUACAAUUUUCCCAAAGGCAUUCUCCUGCUGUUUCCCAAGAAGUCAGUCAUUCUUACAGAACUGCCCUUGAAAAGAUGGGCAGAGACGAGAACAAGAUGGAAUGAGCACCCCUUUCACUGCUAUAAGGCAAAGCAAUUUCCAUAUUUGAAAGCUGCAGACAAAGGCUGCAUACAGCUGUAUACCUGGCCUAGCAGGGAGAAAAAGGGCUUACCAAAACUCCUCAAUAGAGUUUCUGGAUGACAUCCAAAUAUAGGAAAGCCUGUUAAGAGGUUUCAAGGGACUGAAAAUGUAAAAUUACCUCCCUCGCCCCUGCUCUGCUUUAAUUUUACAUAGUAAGUCAGUCAUAUCACAUUUUCUAACAAACAAGCAAAAAGGUGUGAAGAAAAUAAAUCAUGCAGUCUUUUAGCAUUUAUCUCUUUUCAGAGAAGAAAGGAAAAGUUAUACCCCACCCUCUUGGGAGACAAAUUCCCUAAUUAAAAGUUUCAGUCACUAAAGAUAUAAAAGCAUUUUAGAUGUUGUACCUAACAGGUGGUUUCUUGUUCAAAUAGCCAAGAUUUUACCUCAUGAUCUGCUAAAGCUGAGGACAGCUGAAGCAAAUCUGUUUUCGUCAAAGUAUUUGCCAGAACAAAACCUUCAACGGCCAAAUUUAUCGUCUUGUUAGCUUGGGAAUUCCCUACGUUUGUGUCAGUAUUAACGUUAAUGUACUCCUUUCUGCUUAUGGAGCCUACAUAUUAGUUGAGUGUACUGCACUAAUUUCAACAGUCUUCAGGUUCAGCCAUUGAAUGCUUAAUGGCAUGUCACAAUAACCUUUUAGGAUUCUGUUUGACAGUUCAGUGAAGGAAACACAGUCAUUUACAUUACAGACUUAGAAUGUUGACAUGGUAGAAUGUAAAACAUGCUAAACCCUCCCUUAUUACAUUUGCAUCCAACCCUUCCGUAUGCAUAAUAACUACUCUGAACAUUAAGGUUGCCAUUUUCACUGUGGCAGCUCGCUAAUGCAACCAACAUACAUUUAUUUAUUUAUUAACUUUCUACACUACCCUUCAUCUGAGGAUCACAGGGUGAUUUACAAUAUAAAAACACAAAAAUACAUACAUGGGAACAACAACAAAAAACCCACAAUUUUGAAAAAGGCCAUAUAUUGCUUAAUUAAACAAAGGCUGGGGAGAAGAGGAAUGUUUUGCCUGUUUUUUAUUUUUAAGUCAUAACAUUGAAAUACAAAACAUGCGCACAAACUGCUUAGAGGUUUUUUGUCCAAGUAAACAGUAUAUAAUUUUUGUUAAAUAAUAAAAAUAAUUUACAGCUUCGGGGUGGAAGAAAAUGGGUAGGCAUGAUCUUGUUCCAAAAUAAUACAAAUAAAGACCAAAAUCUAUUUGUCCGUCUUUCAUGUACUAGGUUGAUAUUGUCAAUAUGCUAACUAUGAUGAUGCCCAGAUUUCUUUCUUGGGUUGCUACAGCCACUUCAGAACUCAUCAGUCCAUAUGUGUCAUUAGAAUUGUUACCAGUGUGCGUUGCUUAUUAUCUAUUAACUGUCUGCCAUUUUUUGCUAUGCCUUUACUGAAUUUGAAUAGAUUCUUUUGGGAACUCCUCACAAACAGUUUUAGAUAAUAGUCUCCUGAAUGUCAUCUGAAAGCAAUUUGACAACUGUGUCCCGACUAUUUAAGUAAUAGUUUAAAAGCACAGAAUUUGCUUUUUUUAAAAAUCAAUCCAAAAAUGGAAAAACACACACACUCUCUUGGAAGAAGUACUUUUCAAGGUCAAACAAUGCAUAGAUUUGAAUCAAUCAAUC